rnacentral:rRNA from 1 species
GAUGAACGCUGGCGGCGUGCCUAAUACAUGCAAGUCGAGCGAACAGACGAGGAGCUUGCUCCUCUGACGUUAGCGGCGGACGGGUGAGUAACACGUGGAUAACCUACCUAUAAGACUGGGAUAACUUCGGGAAACCGGAGCUAAUACCGGAUAAUAUAUUGAACCGCAUGGUUCAAUAGUGAAAGACGGUUUUGCUGUCACUUAUAGAUGGAUCCGCGCCGCAUUAGCUAGUUGGUAAGGUAACGGCUUACCAAGGCAACGAUGCGUAGCCGACCUGAGAGGGUGAUCGGCCACACUGGAACUGAGACACGGUCCAGACACCUACGGGAGGCAGCAGUAGGGAAUCUUACGCAAUGGGCGAAAGCCUGACGGAGCAACGCCGCGUGAGUGAUGAAGGUCUUCGGAUCGUAAAACUCUGUUAUUAGGGAAGAACAAAUGUGUAAGUAACUAUGCACGUCUUGACGGUACCUAAUCAGAAAGCCACGGCUAACUACGUG